UGUGGACAAAGGAUUAAAUUACACAUAGCUCAUAUCAACAUAGUGAGACCCCUUCUUUUUUUUAAAAUAAGAAGAGUACCUUGUAAAAUACAUAGUCAUGUUAGACUGUAAAUAAGAAUAGCUAUAUUCACAGUUUGAGUACCCCGUAAUAAUGAAAGAUGUUUGUUUAAACAUCUCAACAGUUCUCACGGAAAAUAGAUAAUUUGUUCAGUCAUUGAUUCAUACAUUUGUUCGUAUACAUACACGAAUGUCUUGUGCAUGUAGUAUUCAAGGUCCUUAUCAUGAUAGAGCUUACAGUUGAGUGGAAGAGACUGUUGAAUAGGGUAUCACAUACGUGAGGUGUGGAUGCUGUAGGUAGGUACAUAUGGUGUGGAGGUGGGGUGGGCAUGGAACUCAGACUUCAAAGUUUGGAAGGACUUCCAGGAGGAAGCAUUGUCUUCAUUGAGAAAUCUGGAGGUUGAGUAGUUAGGGGAAGUGGCUGUGUAGCAUUAAUAGAAUGUGCAGUUAUCCAGAGAUGAGAGAAAAUGCAAAUAGCAAACAUAUCAGGAAUAUUAUUUUCAAAUAACAGGCCUCUAAAGCCUACAUUUAUUGCCCCUACCCAAUCUCAGUUGAAAUUAGGAAGGUUAAUGGGAAGUAAAACUAGGGUAAAAACCAAAAAAACAAACAUUUACUAUACUAUUGAGGUAUUUUUUGGUAGUUUGCUUAUUUCUAACAUUCAUAGACUGACAUAAUUCGAUCAUAUUAUCUUUGAACUCAUCCCCAGAUCUUGUAAGAAGCGUUAAUAUAGAUAAGAUUAUAGCCUUCCUUUUUUAACAUUUAGGCUAAUUCUCAUCUAAUACUGUAAUGUUUAUUCCUAGUUAAGUGUAUUUGAUUUUUAUUGCUGCCAUG
rnacentral:lncRNA from 10 species